AUGUUGUGAUUAGGACACCUUCAUAAUAACAAUUUAAACCUUUCCCAUGAGUCAUACAAGGAUUCUAUAUCUUGUUGCUUAAAUUUUGUGAUCUUAGCCUUUCUCUU